rnacentral:tRNA from 1 species
GCCUCUGUAGCUCAGUGGUAGAGCGGCUGCCUUGUAAGCAGUAGGUCGGGGGUUCAAUCCCCUCCGGAGGCU